rnacentral:lncRNA from 1 species
CUGGCGCAGGACGGGAGCAGCCUGGAGGCGCUGCUCAGGACGGAUCCCCUGGACAAGCGCUCCCUGCCCGACGCGCGCGGGGACGACGAGAGCCUGGGCGAGUUCCCGGUCACCAACAGCCGCGCCCGCAAGCGGAUCCUGGAGCCCGAGGAUUUCCUGGACGAUCUGGACGAUGAGGAUUACGAGGAGGACACGCCCAAGCGGAGAGGGAAGGGCAAGGCCAAGGGCAAAGGCGUCGGGGGUGCCCGGAAGAAGCUGGAGGCCGCGAUCCUGGAGGACCGGGACAAACCCUACGCCUGCGACAUCUGCGGGAAGCGCUACAAGAACCGGCCCGGGCUCAGCUACCACUACGCGCACUCGCACCUGGCCGAGGAGGAGGGCGACGACAAGGACGACUCGCAGCCGCCCACGCCCGUGGCGCCGCGCCCCGAGGAGCAGAAAUGUGAGAGAACCCAAAAUCCCCCCGAAAUGGCCCCAAAAUCCCCCCAAAAUCCCCCCAAAAUUGCCCUGGGAUCGAGCGGGGCCGGGGAGUUGGGAGCGGUUCCAGGGGGAAUUCUGGGCCUGAUCCCUGAUCCUGAUCCCUGAUUCUGAUUCCUGAUUUCUCAUCCCUAAUCCCCGAUUCCUGAUAUCUGUCCCUGAUCCCUGAUCCCUAAUUCCUGGUCCCUAAUUCCUGGUCCCUAAUCCCCGUCCCUAAUCCCUGAUUCCUCUCCCUGGUUCCCGAUCCCUAAUCCCUGGUCCCUGUCCUUGAUCCUUGAUUCCCGAUCCCUCACCCUGAUCCUGAUCCUGAUCCCUGUCUCUAAUUCGUGGUCCCUGAUCCCUGUCCCUGAUUCCUGUCCCUAUUUCCUGUCCCUGAUCCCUAAUUUCUGGUCCCCAAUCCAUAAUCCCUGUCCCUGCUCCCUCAUCCCCAAUCCCUGAUCUCUGAUCCUAAUCCCUGAUCCCUGUCCCUGAUCCCUGAUUCUUGAUUCCUGAUCCCUAAUCCCUAAUCCUUGUCCUUGAUCCUUGAUCCCUGAUCCUUGAUCCCUAAUCCCUGUUCCCAAUCCCCAAUCCCUGUUCCCAAUCCCUGUUCCCAAUCCCAAUCCCAAUCGCUGUCGCUGUCGCUGUCCCCGUGCAGCCAAGAAGGGCCCGGACGGGCUGGCCCUUCCCAACAAUUACUGCGAUUUCUGCCUGGGCGACUCCAAGAUCAACAAGAAGACGGGACAGCCCGAGGAGCUCGUGUCGUGCUCCGACUGCGGCCGCUCCGGUCAGGCCCGGGCCGGGGGGCACCUCUGGGGUCUGGGGUCCCAGGGUUCCUUCUAAAAUGGGGCUGGGGGCACAUUUGGGGGCUGGGGUCCCAGGGUUCCCUCUAAAAUGGGGCUGGGGGAGUUUGGGGUCAGAGAUCCGAGGGUUUCC